GACGAACGCUGGCGGCGUGCUUAACACAUGCAAGUCGAACGGGGUCCAAUCAUUCGCAAGAAUGAGGACGACCUAGUGGCGAACGGGUGCGUAACACAUGAGGAACCUACCCCAGUCUCUGGAAUAACAGGUGGAAACACUUGCUAAUACCGGAUGUCGUUGGAUCACCGCAUGGCGAUCCAACGAAAGAUUUAUCGGUCUGGGAGGGCCUCGUGGCCUAUCAGCUUGUUGGCGAGGUAACGGCUCACCAAGGCUUCGACGGGUAGCUGGUCUGAGAGGAUGAUCAGCCACACUGGGACUGAGACACGGCCCAGACUCCUACGGGUGGCUG
rnacentral:rRNA from 1 species